GGGUCGGCGUCGCGUCGCCCGCCGUUGCCAUUUCCGCAUUCGGUGCCCAGGAAGUGGGCGGCGAGGCCUCUCGGUCUCCAAGACUCCUUCUUUCUCCAGCCUGCGAUGGCUGAGCCCCGCAUCCGCGUCCGGCCCGGUCCCAAGUCCCCGUAGGCCCUGCGAGGCUGGCUGCUGGGUUCCCUGUGCUGACACUUUUUCAACCAGGCCUUCUUCGAGCCAUUUCUUAGUCUGGGCACGCGAAGAGAGACAUAGGCUGACCCCAGUGAUCUCUCUAAAGACAACUGAGCGGGCCAGCACACUCACAGAGCUCAGCAUGGUAUCCAUGAUCUUAAACAGGGUCGCCAAAUGUUCUAAUUUCCCGUUUUCAGGCCCUGUGUGUAUAAGCCGUGUGGAGCCUAGGGCACUAAGCCAUACCCCACUCACUCCUCUUAAUGUUUGAGAGGAGGGCUUUUAUUGUUGGUGGUUUAGGUUUGGAAUUUUGAGACAUGAUCUCACGUGGCUAAUAAUACUAGCCUCAGUAGUAGCCAAGGCUGGCCUUGAACUCUUGAUCCUCUGUCUCCACCUGGUCGUGUAUGAUGGUAAGUCUGUACUAUCAUGCUCAACGAUGUUUUACUUUGAGACAGUCUCAUUAAGUUGCCCCGGCUGACUUUGAACUUUCUAUGCUUCUGCCUUAGCCUCCUGUGUGGCUGGGAGUUGGGAACCGUGCUUAACCAGGUCCAUCUUUGUCAGGAUUCUCUGAGGAAGAGAACCCUUGCACUUUAUAAAAUGGCAAAGGGAUUGGUCAGGUUGACUUACACAGUCAAAGAUGAGGUGUUUCCCGUGUCUGCACACAUGGGAGAGCCAAAUCACAAAACAGGAGGUGUCAGCACAAGAAGCUGCCUUGGCAGGUGGCAACCAUCUACUGUCUGGGUGCUGGGACUCAAACCUAGGGCCUCUGCGAGAGCAUUAUAUGCUUUUAACCGCUGAUUCAUCUCUCCAGCCCCCAGAAGAGACAUUUUCUUCGGUGAUGUAGUCAGUUAAGCUGUUCAUGUGCCUUGAAGUAACCCCUUACUCAUUCCCACGUAAGCAGCCCUGACAGAGCUCCGUGGGGCACUGUUGUGGGGCAGUUUCCUCCAGAAUAAAACCUACUUUGGAGGGUAGCUCCUUAAGUUCAGGAAGUAAACAACUCAAAGGCUUCAGAUAGCUUCAAAAGCGACCUGAAACUGACCAGACUGACUAGGUCCCUCCUUUCCUUCCCCAAGCACAUAUAAACAGAACUGCUGAGAGAUGCUCUCAGGAAAGCUGGGCUGCCUGGAAAGAGACCCACUACUAGCUGUCAAGCUGCCUGCAAGGUGUGCAGUGUGCUUCUGGUUUCCAGCUUUACUGGACGGUCACCCAUGCUGGCAUGGGCUUUGUUGGAGUUCUGCUCUGAAGAAGUCACUUAAGGAAACUGGAAGGCUCCUUUGAAUCAAGAUUUGGAGGAGCAGGAGUGAAGGGGUUAGUGUGGGGGAAGUGGAGACCGGAAUGAAUAUAAGGCGGAUGGAGACAGGAGCUCGGCCC